rnacentral:rRNA from 1 species
GUCUAUGGCCAUGCUACCUUGAAGAAGCUCGAUCCCAUCUAAUCUCAGAAGCUAAGCAGAGUCGGGCCUGGUUAGUACUUGGAUGGGAGACCACACAGGAAGACCAGGUGCUGUAGGCA